rnacentral:lncRNA from 1 species
UGGCCAAUAUGAUUUGUCUCCCACUUCUGUACUUGUAAUGAAGGAAAAAUAAUAUGAUUUGUGCUUAUCAUCCAUCUAUCAUCUGCAGCUAAAACACCUCCUCCAAUUAUACUUUCCAUACUGGAGGAAAAUAAUACCCAAACAACAUGUGUCUGCAGCAUAAUAAAAAUAGUAAUUUGUGUUUUCUUCUUCUCAUUCCGGAGC